AUACGGAGGGUGCGAACGUUGUUCGGAAUCACUGGGCAUAAAGCGCACGUAGGCGGUCCACUAAGUCGAAUGUGAAAGCCCCCGGCUCAACCGGGGAACUGCAUCCGAUACUGGUGGACUUGAGGACGGUUGGGGUGAGUGGAACUCCUGGUGGAGCGGUGAAAUGCGUAGAUAUCAGGAGGAACACCAGUGGCGAAAGCGGCUCACUGGGUCUUUUCUGACGCUGAGGCACGAAAGCUAGGGUAGCGAACAGGAUUAGAAACCCCGGUAGUCC
rnacentral:rRNA from 1 species